GUUGGUCUCUAUUGGUAAUUUGCUUUCUUCUAUUGGUGGCAUGUAUUGUCUAUUGGAUACUAUUAAGGACCAACAGAACACCUUUGGAAACUUCUGGUGGUAUCUACUGGACACCAGUAGAAACCAUUAUGACUCCAAUAAAUUAAGUGGUUUCUUUGGAAAACUGUAAUGGUCUUAGUGGGUAGGCUAGACUGCUGAAAAUAAAAAAUAAAAAAAAAUAAAUGAACACACAAACAAUAGAAACCAUUACAGAAUUUGUAAUGGUUUUAAUGGUUCUAAUGGGAAUUCUGUUGGUUUUAAUGGACAUUGUAAUGGUCCCUAUGGGUCUCUAUUUGUAAUUUGCUUUCUUUUAUUUGUGGCAUUGUCUAUUGGAUACCGUUAAGGAAACUUCUGCUGGUACCCAGCACCAGACGUCAUGUGGACAUCGUUUUUUUUUUUUUUUUUUUUUGCUAAAUCUCGGCCCGUCAUGGCCUUCUUUUAGAUCAAAAAUUGACGUUGAAAGUUGGUUUCUUUGCUUGUUUCGUCGGAUUUGGUCCAAAUUUUGCCCUAAACUCAGCAAUGGUCUUUGUUUUGUCUGUCUGAUUUGGUUCAAAUAUAGCCCCAAAAUCUAUGUUUAAUAUUAGGUUUUGUUUGGUCCAUCUGAUUUGGUCCAAAUUUAGGCCAAAAUAAAUGUUGAAAUAACAGUGAAAUUCUGCGUGACUUCUACGUGCUGUAAUGGGCGCGCGCGCUGAACUGGAGCGGAGGACGUCACCAUGGAAACGAGGCGGCAGCCCAACCGUCAAGCAGCUGAACGCUGACUCUCAAUGUGGUUUUCACUAUUGUUUUUUAGUAUGCUUAUGUUCCUAGAUUCUUCCAUGCUGAUGGCUGUGCUCUAGAGUCAUAUCUCCUGUCGAAGAACAUUUUUAGACAUUAUGAACCAUGAAAAAGUUUAGCUCCAACCCCAGUUAAGCAGAUCGGGGCAGCUGAUCAAGGAUCACCAGAAACUCUGCAGAACAUUGGUCCUAAAGCCCAGGACUGGACACCAGUGUUAGUGUCUGUCUCAGAAGCUGAAGAAAAGAGGCCACACCUCAGAGGAAAUAAGCGCCUCCUAAGUGUACGGAAAUACCUGGCUGAGAAGAUCAGUGACAUAAACCAGAUAAAACUCUCAGUGGUCUAAGACAGCUACAAUGAAGCCACAAAUGCAGUUCAUAGUUCCUGCAUUUCUAUAAUGCAUUAAUGAAUAACAAUAAUUAAAAAAAAAUGUAAUGUCAAGGUUUUGUGUUAAUUCCAGCUAUGUUGAGUAUUCUGUGAAUAAUUUUGAUUUUAGGUGCAUAUUCUUAAUUCUUUGCAAAACAACCUGAACUGUUUGCUAUUGAAAGGUUGGUAUGU